rnacentral:tRNA from 1 species
AUGGCUGAGCUGUAAAGCGCUUGGCUUCCAAACCGGCGUCCCGGGUUCGAAUCCUGGU